rnacentral:lncRNA from 13 species
ACCGUUCUCAGUUCCGUCCAGUAUGUUUCAUUUGAUCAAGAAUCUAUUUAGAGAAGGGGCUGGAACAUUCCGGAGUUGUGCCUGCAGUGAGAAAGAUACAACAGUUCUCUAUGUGCCUGGAACAGAGAAAUUGCUCCCCGUUCCCGCCAGAAAAAAAAAAACCCAAUAGAAUGAAGGUGCCAUGUGGACUGUGACAGUCCUCUUCACCCCAUCACUGAACCUAAGAGCUCCCGCGUCUUCUGGCUUUCUGUCCCGUGGAGUCCUGCCUUGGUGCUGCAAAGGGUGCCGGGGUCGGCAGGUCUCAGCUGUGCACGUAACCCUCUCAACGGCUCGGGGCUUCGAGGAGACCAGCAGCUUGGCUCAGGGUCCAGCAGCUGCGAGAGCAUUAAUUAGAGACUGUAUCCCGACCGCUCCACUUGCUAUGCCGGGCGACUCUGGGACAAGCUGCUGCAGGGCAACUGAGGCCACAUGGUGAAGAAUCUGUUUGGAGAAAGGACUAGAAGAUUCUGGGGCUGUGCUUGCAAUGAGGUACAUACAACAGUUCUCCCUGUGCCUUGAGCAGAGAACUUCCCUCAAAAAAAAAAAAAAAAAAAAAAGCCAGACAAAAGAAGAACUAAGGUAAGAGAGUUUCCUGUGAUCACAUUAUGCUCUGUGCCUGCACAGCAGAGAGGGAACACAUUUUCCUAUUCAAAAAUCAGGGCAUGGCAUUUAACAAAACAUAUUUUUUCAGUUUCUGAAUUUGUGUACAUGAAGUACCUUAAAAUGAUAUAAAAAUGAAAUUGUACUUAGUCAUAAAUUGAAGUAAAUGAAUUUAUUACAAUUACAACAUUGCAUGAAAUUGGAAGUGUCUUGGAAAAUCUGGAAUGAAUGAACACUUUUUUUCAACUGAAGCAUAUCUGACAAUAGCUGAGGAACAAGUUUAUUAGUUUUCCUGAAUCAGUGGUUGAGGGAGGAGGAGUUAGGGGAGAACAAGUUCCCUUCUGAGAGUUGGGGUCAGGGAGAGAGAGGCCCUUGCAGUGUGUUUGAGUGAAAAGGACAAGGAAGCUGGGACCUUGAGGAACUGGCCUCUUGAUUUUCAACUCCCUACCUGUGUCUCAGGAGAACCUCAGUUUCCUGAUCUGCAAAGUGCUCAUGGAAUUGCUACAAGCUGAUAUCCACUGGGCAGCAGUGUCUGUCCCUGAUGGGCUGUACACGAACCUUUUCUUCCUUGACCCCAUCUCAGGUGAUGUAUGGAAAGACGCUCC